rnacentral:misc_RNA from 1 species
UUGAAAUAAACCUGAUGGGUUGUUGCUGGCUCUCUAGGGAGCAUGUGCACACCUUGUCAUCUUUAUAUUUCCACCUGUGCACCUUUUGUAGACCCUCCCAGGUCUAUGUUUGCUUCAUUUACCCCUGAUGUAUGUUAAUAGAAUGUUGUGCCUAUAAAAUAUAUA